AUAUUAUUAAUAUGUUGUUUUAAUAGGGGUUAAAACUUCAGUUUUUUAACAAUUGUCUCAUUGAUUCGUGGUAUAGCGUUACUUAACAACAAUUAUAAACUGUAAAAUAUAAAUAUUUUAUAAAAAUAAAAUUUGCAAGUUUUAAUAUAUAUUACUUUUACAAAAUAAAUCGUCCCGCGGUAUACCGUGGGUUAAAAUCUAGUACUAAUUUUAAACUUUGAUU
rnacentral:sRNA from 1 species